ACGAACGCUGGCGGCGUGCUUAACACAUGCCCGUCGAACGGAAAGGCCCCUUUGGGGGUACUCGAGUGGCGAACGGGUGAGUAACACGUGAGUAACCUGCCCUUGACUUCGGGAUAACUUCAGGAAACUGGGGCUAAUACCGGAUAGGAAUCCUUGCUGCAUGGUGGGGGUUGGAAAGCUUCGGCGGUUUUGGAUGGACUCGCGGCUUAUCAGCUUGUUGGUGGGGUAGUGGCUUACCAAGGCUUUGACGGGUAGCCGGCCUGAGAGGGCGACCGGCCACAUUGGGACUGAGAUACGGCCCAGACUCCUACGGGAGGCAGCAGUGGGGAAUAUUGCACAAUAGGCGGAAGCCUGAUGCAGCAACGCCGCGUGCGGGAUGACGGCCUUCGGGUUGUAAACCGCUUUCAGCAGGGGCGAAGCUUGUGGUGACGGUACCUGCAGAAGAAGCACCGGCUAACUACGUG
rnacentral:rRNA from 1 species